UUAACCCUGCUCUCCAGAGGGCCAGGCGAGCAGCAAGAGGCUGCCUGGACUCUGCAUUCAGGCCACAGACGGUGAAUGACACGAGAACAAAGUUCAGACCUGCCCUCAAAUCUCAUUGCCAUCCCGAAAGCAUGAAAGCAGAUGCACACGAUGGAUGAAAAGCCAAACAUAUCGAUCACUCCGUACAUCGCUGGCAGCCAGCUGUGCUGGCAGCAGGCAGCCAGGGCUGUGCUGCAGUCAGGCUCAAGGUAACGAGCAGGGAACACAGGAGCUGGCACCGGGUGGGUUUUAUUCCCGGGGAGGUCCCCACAGCAGCGAUGCCGCUCCGAGCCUGCUCACGCUGCCCGCCUUGCCCACGGUGCAGCCUGCCCGGCAGCCGUGCCCGUGUCUGCUGUGUGUCUGCAACCUGCUGCACCUCUGCCAGCCUGUGACAGUGCCCCUGCCGCCGGAACGCCGGGACAACGCCGCUGCCCUUGCCCACGACCCCCGGAGCAGGUGCAGGCAAGAGUUACCAGGAAAAGAAAGAAGCUGUUGAGUGAUGAACAGAGAUGAUCAUCUGCUCUACAGAAUUCCUGCUGCUGUCCCAGACUGCUGAAACUCGAGGGGCUCAGUUGCAUUGGGAAACUAUUUUCAAGGUCUGAGACAGUAAAAAAAAAAAAACAAACAACCAAAAAGCAAAAUAAAAGUCGUGGUUUUACCUGAAAACUCAGCACUAUGGUGAA